ACGGGUGAGUAACACGUGGGCAACCUGCCCUUGAGACUGGGAUAACUUCGGGAAACCGGAGCUAAUACCGGAUAAUAUGAGGAACCUCCUGGUUCUUUAUUGAAAGAUGGUUUCGGCUAUCACUUAAGGAUGGGCCCGCGGCGCAUUAGCUAGUUGGUGAGGUAACGGCUCACCAAGGCGACGAUGCGUAGCCGACCUGAGAGGGUGAUCGGCCACACUGGGACUGAGACACGGCCCAGACUCCUACGGGAGGCAGCAGUAGGGAAUCUUCCACAAUGGACGAAAGUCUGAUGGAGCAACGCCGCGUGAGUGAUGAAGGCCUUCGGGUCGUAAAGCUCUGUUGUUAGGGAAGAACAAGUGCGAGAGUAACUGCUCGCACCUUGACGGUACCUAACCAGAAAGCCACGGCUAACUACGUGCCAGCAGCCGCGGUAAUACGUAGGUGGCAAGCGUUAUCCGGAAUUAUUGGGCGUAAAGCGCGCGCAGGUGGUUUCUUAAGUCUGAUGUGAAAGCCCACGGCUCAACCGUGGAGGGUCAUUGGAAACUGGGGAACUUGAGUGCAGAAGAGGAAGGUGGAAUUCCA
rnacentral:rRNA from 1 species